rnacentral:pre_miRNA from 1 species
AAUAUGAUUACUGGAUAGUAUGGCCAGAUGUGUUUAGUUUUGUAAUUAACUAUCAAACUGUUUUCAAAGUGGCUGUACCAUUUUACAUUCCCAUUAGCAAU